GACGUAGGGGGCAAGCGUUGUCCGGAAUUAUUGGGCGUAAAGCGCUCGUAGGCGGAUCUGCAAGUCUGUGAAGAAAGACCCGGGCUCAACUCGGGGAACGGCAUAGAUACUGCGGAUCUUGAGACAAUCAGAGGAUGAUGGAAUUCCCGGUGUAGCGGUGAAAUGCGUAGAUAUCAGGAGGAACACCAAUUGCGAAGGCAGCUCGCUGGGACGUUACUGACGCUGAGACGCGAAAGCGUGGGGAGCAAACAGG
rnacentral:rRNA from 1 species